rnacentral:rRNA from 1 species
UACGAGAGGCCCAAACGUUAUUCGGAAUUACUGGGCUUAAAGAGUUCGUAGGCGGCGCGGAAAGUGGGGUGUGAAAGCCCUCGGCUCAACCGAGGAAUUGCGCUCCAAACUACCGUGCUUGAGGAAGCUAGAGGUGAGCAGAACUGAUGGUGGAGCGGUGAAAUGCGUUGAUAUCAUCAGGAAUACCGGAGGCGAAGGCGGCUCACUGGGGGCUUUUCUGACGCUGAGGAACGAAAGCCAGGGUAGCGAACGGGG